rnacentral:rRNA from 1 species
UCCUACGGGAGGCAGCAGUGGGGAAUCUUGGACAAUGGGGGCAACCCUGAUCCAGCCAUGCCGCGUGAGUGAUGAAGGCCUUAGGGUCGUAAAGCUCUUUCGCCUGUGAAGAUAAUGACGGUAGCAGGUAAAGAAACCCCGGCUAACUCCGUGCCAGCAGCCGCGGUAAUACGGAGGGGGUUAGCGUUGUUCGGAAUUACUGGGCGUAAAGCGCACGUAGGCGGAUCGGAAAGUUGGGGGUGAAAUCCCGGGGCUCAACCCCGGAACUGCCUCCAAAACUAUCGGUCUAGAGUUCGAGAGAGGUGAGUGGAAUUCCGAGUGUAGAGGUGAAAUUCGUAGAUAUUCGGAGGAACACCAGUGGCGAAGGCGGCUCACUGGCUCGAUACUGACGCUGAGGUGCGAAAGUGUGGGGAGCAAACAGGAUUAGAUACCCUGGUAGUCCACACCGUAAACCAUGAAUGCCAGUCGUCGGGUAGCAUGCUUUUCGGUGACACCCCUAACGGAUUAAGCAUUCCCCCU